AUUGAACGCUGGCGGCAUGCCUUACACAUGCAAGUCGAACGGCAGCACGGGUGCUUGCACCUGGUGGCGAGUGGCGAACGGGUGAGUAAUACAUCGGAACGUACCUUGUAGUGGGGGAUAGCUCGGCGAAAGCCGGAUUAAUACCGCAUACGCUCUGAGGAGGAAAGCGGGGGACCUUCGGGCCUCGCGCUACAAGAGCGGCCGAUGUCAGAUUAGCUAGUUGGUGAGGUAAAAGCUCACCAAGGCGACGAUCUGUAGCUGGUCUGAGAGGACGACCAGCCACACUGGGACUGAGACACGGCCCAGACUCCUACGGGAGGCAGCAGUGGGGAAUUUUGGACAAUGGGCGAAAGCCUGAUCCAGCAAUGCCGCGUGUGUGAAGAAGGCCUUCGGGUUGUAAAGCACUUUUGUCCGGAAAGAAAUCCUCUGGGUUAAUACCUCGGGGGGAUGACGGUACCGGAAGAAUAAGCACCGGCUAACUACGUGCCAGCAGCCGCGGUAAUACGUAGGGUGCAAGCGUUAAUCGGAAUUACUGGGCGUAAAGCGUGCGCAGGCGGUUUUGUAAGACGGAUGUGAAAUCCCCGGGCUUAACCUGGGAACUGCAUUCGUGACUGCAAGGCUAGAGUAUGGCAGAGGGGGGUAGAAUUCCA
rnacentral:rRNA from 1 species